ensembl:lncRNA
GAAGCUUACAGGCUUUGCUCUGUGACACCCGGCUAGAGAAGCCCUUGGCCUCUGGGCCACCAUGUGGAUCCUAUUAGAGACUCAGGUUUGCUGAGGGAGGCACCUGUAGAUUAAACCUCUUCCUCCAACUCCCGGCUGUAAGCUUUGCCAAAUGGGUGGUGCCAGGCUGGCCUGCAGGCCCUGUCUUACCCUCCCUCUGUCCUGUGCCUUGGCCCUUUGUCUUCAACACAAGGAUUCCAUCCUGGUCCAAUCUGUUGUUAAUAAUAAGACUUGGCUAUUUUGUAUCCCCCCGCCCUCUUUUUUGGGAAGCAUUUUAUCUUCACAAACUCUUGAUAUCAGUCCCUAUUUUUCAGUGCAGAGAUAAAUGACUUGUCUAAGGUCACAAGAUGGAGGUGAUAAAACCAAUGGAGGUUUUCCAUUCUUCCAACACCCAGCCGAGUGCACCUCCUACUACACCAGUGAUGCUCAAAGGUGCUUCCCAGACAAGCAGCAUCAGCAUCACCUGGCAACCUGUUAGAAAUGCCUUGUCAACAGUUCAGGGUGGGGCCCAGCAAUCUGUGGUCUCACACGCCCUCCAGGUGAUUUUGAUUCACACUGAGCAACCACUGUACUUAGUGUUUCCUGAACCCCUGACAAUAGGAAUCGAGCUCCCCGGCAUCUGUUUCCCCCAACUGACCCAAUACGGAAUUCUUAGGUCCCACUCAUAUCUGUCACGGGCAUAGGAGUCUGUCUGGUUUUUUUUGUUUUUUUUUUAAUUGCCCCUGGUAAUUCUUAAGUUCAGGCAACUUUAGAAAACAGUGAAGGGAUCCUGCUGCCUAGGGGCUCAAUAUAGGGAAGCUUUAUAAAAAUCCUGGUGUGCUGAGAAAAAGCACUGUAAACCCAAACUACAGACUCUCCCACUGGAAUCAAAAUAAGGUGUUGUCUUUCCCUCCAAAUCACUAAAUGCACACCAGCAGGGAGACCUAAGUCUGCAUCCUCAUCCCCCUCCUGGAAAGAGUCUAGGGAGAGACUUUUAGAAGCCUGCUGCCCCUGGGCAGGCGCAAAGCUGACUCAAGCUCUUCAUGCCGCGUUCUGUGUAACAUGGAAAGACCCAGCAAACAGUGGCCACUGCCAGAGUACACCCCUUUGAAAGAAAGAGGCUGCCAUCACAUUCGCCUAAAUUCAGAGGGCCAGUGCUGACAGCCACGCUUCCCACCCUGCUCGGCAGCGCUGGCCCCUGAGAAGGGCCUGCACUUUCCCCAAAAGGAUGUGGGCUGGAGGGAAGGGAGGAGCAGGAGGAGCGUGGACUUCUGCCUCCCGUCUUGGCGCAGUAAAUCAGGUUGGUAACGUGCACACAGUGACAAAAGGUGGCAAGAGCCAAGGCUGGGUCUCCUACCUGAGAGUUUUCUCCUCCAUGCUACAGCCACACCAUGUCCAUUCAGUCAAUGUUCCAUGAUAGCAUGAAGCAUGUCACAUUUCGGCCUCAAGUCAACAAGUAUCCACUGGGUGCCGAGGGCAUGUGUUAUACACACUUACUUCAUCAGCGGUUUUAAGAAGACAGCCCGUGUCUCAAAAGCUCCCACUCUCCCCUGGAAGCAUUCUCACCACCCCCACAAGCCAGAGGCACUCUGAGACGGAAGGUGGGGCAGAAGACCUGCAGUCAACUAAGAGUGAGCCUGUGUGUGCCCUUACAUAUGCAUGGAAUGACCGAAUGACUCUGCACUUGCUGGCUAUUUAAUACUGGGCGAUUCCAUCAUUCUGAGGAGGCUUGGAAGGACUG